rnacentral:rRNA from 1 species
GCAGUUAAAGCUCGUAGUUGGAUUUUGGUUAAGAGGGCGCGGUCGGCCGUUUGGUCUGUACUGCGUUGUCUUGACUUCCUGAUGAGGACAUGCUCUUGGUUAACGCUGAGACAUGGAGUCAUCGUGGUUACUUUGAAAAAAUUAGAGUGUUCAAAGCGGGCUUACGCUUGAAUAUAUUAGCAUGGAAUAACACUAUAGGACUCCUGUCCUAUCUCGUUGGUCUCGGGAUGGGAGUAAUGAUUAAGAGGAACAGUUGGGGGCAUUCGUAUUUCAUUGUCAGAGGUGAAAUUCUUGGAUUUAUGAAAGACGAACUUCUGCGAAAGCAUUUGCCAAGGAUGUUUUCAUUAAUCAAGAACGAAAGUUGGGGGCUCGAAGAUGAUUAGAUACCAUCCUAGUCUCAACCAUAAACGAUGCCGACUAGGGAUUGGUGGAUGUUAAUUGAUGACUUCACCAGCACCUUAUGAGAAAUCAAAGUUUUUGGGUUCCGGGGGGAGUAUGGUCGCAAGGCUGAAACUUAAAGGAAUUGACGGAAGGGCACCACCAGGCGUGGAGCCUGCGGCUUAAUUUGACUCAACACGGGGAAACUUACCAGGUCCAGACAUAAGUAUGAUUGACAGAUUGAGAGCUCUUUCUUGAUUCUAUGGGUGGGUGGUGGCAUGGCCGUUCUUAGUUGGUGGGGGUGGAUUUUGGU